rnacentral:lncRNA from 1 species
CCUGUUUGUACUCCUAGAUGAAGAGGCUCAAGUGGAAGCUCGGUUCGGUCUGUUUGGAGAUAGUGCUAAUCUUGAUGCAAGAUUGGUGCACGGUUUGCAUGGAACAUACCAUAUGCUUGGAAAUCAAUUUGGAUGCACCCGAUGGAACUCCUUGAUGACGUGUGUCAUAUGGAAUCUCGCUUUGGUCUGUUUAGAAACAAUGUUAGUUUCGGUGCAAGAUAUGUGGAUGGUUUGUGCCUAAUGCACCAUAGUCUAAGAAACUAUUUUGGAAGCACCGUUGGUACUUCGGUGAUGAGGCUCAAGUGGAAGCUCAGUUUGAUCUGUUUGGAGAUAGUGCUAAUCUUGAUGCAAGAUAGAUGCACGGUCUGCAUGGAACAUACCAUAUGCUUAGAAAUUAAUUUGGACACACCUGAUAGAACUCCUUGAUGAUUUGUGUCAUAUGGAAUCUCGCUUUGGUGUGCUUAGAGACAGUAUUAGUUUCGGUGCAAGAUAUGUGCAUGGUUUGCGCCAAAUGCACCAAAGUCUAAGAAACCAUUUGGGAAGCAUCUGUUGGUCCUCCUAGGUGAAGAGGCUCAAGUGGAGGCUCGGUUCGGUCUGUUUAGAGAUAGUGCUAAUCUUGAUGCAAGAUAGGUGCACGAUUUGCAAGGAACAUACCAUAUGCUCAGAAAUCAAUUUGGAUGCACUAGAUGGAACUCAUAGAUGACAUGUGUCAUAUGGAAUCUCACUUCGGUCCGUUUAGAGACAGUGUUAGUUUUGAUGCAAGAU